rnacentral:rRNA from 1 species
GCAUAUCAAUAAGCGGAGGAAAAGAAACCAACAGGGAUUGCCCCAGUAACGGCGAGUGAAGCGGCAACAGCUCAAAUUUGAAAUCUGGCCCCUUGGGGCCCGAGUUGUAAUUUGCAGAGGAUACUUUUGGCGAGGCGCCUUCCGAGUUCCCUGGAACGGGACGCCAUAGAGGGUGAGAGCCCCGUCUGGUUGGAUGCCGAGCCUCUGUAAAGUUCCUUCGACGAGUCGAGUAGUUUGGGAAUGCUGCUCUAAAUGGGAGGUAUAUGUCUUCUAAAGCUAAAUAUUGGCCAGAGACCGAUAGCGCACAAGUAGAGUGAUCGAAAGAUGAAAAGCACUUUGGAAAGAGGGUUAAAAAGCACGUGAAAUUGUUGAAAGGGAAGCGCUUGUGACCAGACGUGGGCCUGUCGGAUCAUCCAGCGUUCUCGCUGGUGCACUCCGGCGGGCUCAGGCCAGCAUCAGCUCGUCCCGGGGGACAAAGGCAGCGGGAAUGUGGCUCCUUCGGGAGUGUUAUAGCCCGCUGCGUAAUGCCCUGGGGCGGGCUGAGGUUCGCGCAUCUGCAUGGAUGCUGGCAUAAUGGUUAUCAGCGACCCGUCUUGAAACACGGACCAAGGAGUCGUCUUCGUAUGCGAGUGUUCGGGUGUCAAACCCCUACGCGUAAUGAAAGUGAACGCAGGUGAGAGCUUCGGCGCAUCAUCGACCGAUCCUGAUGUUCUCGGAUGGAUUUGAGUAAGAGCAUACGGGGCCGGACCCGAAAGAAGGUGAACUAUGCCUGUGUAGGGUGAAGCCAGAGGAAACUCUGGUGGAGGCUCGCAGCGGUUCUGACGUGCAAAUCGAUCGUCAAACAUGGGCAUGGGGGCGAAAGACUAAUCGAACCUUCUAGUAGCUGGUUUCCGCCGA